UUAGGAAUAUUGGACAAUGGGGGAAACCCUGAUCCAGCCAUGCCGCGUGUGUGACGGAGGCCUUAGGGUUGUAAAGCACUUUCGGCUGUGAGGAUAACGACAGUAGCAGAAGAAGAAGCUCCGGCUAAAUUCGUGCCAGCAGCCGCGGUAAUACGAAUGGAGCGAGCGUUGUUCGGAAUCACUGGGCGUAAAGCGUACGCAGGCGGUCUUGAAAGUCAGGAGUGAAAUCCCAGGGCUCAACCCUGGAAUUGCUUUUGAAACUCCAAGACUAGAGUACUGGAGAGGUUGGCGGAAUUCCGAGUGUAGCAGUGAAAUGCGUAGAUAUUCGGAGGAACACCGAUGACGUGGCAGCCAACUGGACAGUGACUGACGCUCAUGUACGAAAGCGUGGGGAUCAAAC
rnacentral:rRNA from 1 species